GUGCAUGUGAUGAGUAUCUCGGAUUCCCCUUCAAGACAGCAUGAAUGAUGCACACCCGAGUUUCUGAUGCA
rfam:Vigna radiata var. radiata cultivar VC1973A scaffold_455, whole genome shotgun sequence